rnacentral:rRNA from 1 species
UACGUAGGGUGCAAGCGUUGUCCGGAAUUAUUGGGCGUAAAGAGCUCGUAGGCGGUCUGUCACGUCGGCUGUGAAAACCCGAGGCUCAACCUCGGGCCUGCAGUCGAUACGGGCAGACUAGAGUUCGGUAGGGGAGACUGGAAUUCCUGGUGUAGCGGUGAAAUGCGCAGAUAUCAGGAGGAACACCGGUGGCGAAGGCGGGUCUCUGGGCCAUUACUGACGCUGAGGAGCGAAAGCGUGGGGAGCGAACAGG